rnacentral:rRNA from 1 species
UGGGGGAUAUUGCACAAUGGGCGAAAGCCUGAUGCAGCGACGCCGCGUGGGGGAUGAAGGCCUUCGGGUUGUAAACUUCUUUUGCUCUGAACAAGGCAGGCCUUUGGGGUGUGUUGAGUGUAGGGGUGGAUUAGCGCCGGCUAACUACGUUCCAGCAGCCGCGGUAAUACGUAGGGCGCGAGCGUUGUCCGGAAUUAUUGGGCGUAAAGGGCUUGUAGGUGGCUGGUUGCGUCUGUCGUGAAAGCUCCUGGCUUAACUGUGGGUUUGCGGUGGGUACGGGAUGGCUUGAGUGCAGUAGAGGAGGCUGGAAUUCCUCGUGUAGCGGUGGAAUGCGCAGAUAUCAGGAGGAAUACCGGUGGCGAAGGCGGGUCUCUGGGCUGUUACUGACGCUGAUGAGCGAAAGCGUGGGGAGCGAACAGG